rnacentral:rRNA from 1 species
UGCGGAAGGAUCAUUAUUGAAUACGUUGGUACUGUUGCUGGCUCUUCACUGAGCAUGUGCACGUCCAUCUAUUUAUCUUCUCUUGUGCACCUUUUGUAGUCUUUUUCUGAAAAAGAGCGAGCAGAGGGCAUUUAUCCGCCGGUGGCUGCCCCUGGAGUUUAGUAACUUGUUACUUGGCCAGGGGUUUGGGGCUUGAUCCCAGAAACCACCGGAGGGCAAUCUGCUUUUGCUCUUUUCCAGAGGGGCUACGUUUUCAUAUACACUAUUAAAGUUACAGAAUGUCUUUUAAAGACUGUGCUAGCCGCAGUCAUUAAACCUAUACAACUUUCAGCAACGGAUCUCUUGGCUCUCCCAUCGAUGAAGAACGCAGCGAAAUGCGAUAAGUAAUGUGAAUUGCAGAAUUCAGUGAAUCAUCGAAUCUUUGAACGCACCUUGCGCCCUUUGGUAUUCCGAAGGGCAUGCCUGUUUGAGUGUCAUUAAAUUAUCAACCUUUUUGCUUUGCUUGCGAAGUAUCUAGGCUUGGAUGUGGGGGUUUUUGCUGGCUUCCUUCAGUGGAUGGUCUGCUCCCCUUAAAUGCAUUAGCGGGAUCUCUUGUGGACCGUCACUUGGUGUGAUAAUUAUCUAUACCACUUGGCCUUGAAGCAAAUCUUAUGAGGACCCGCUCAUAACCGUCCCUCUGGGACAACUCUUGACAUUUUGACCUCAAAUCANGUAGGACUACCCGCUGAACUUAAGCAUAUCAAUAAGCGGAGGAAAAGAAACUAACAAGGAUUCCCCUAGUAACUGCGAGUGAAGCGGGAAAAGCUCAAAUUUAAAAUCUGGCGGUUCUGUGGCCGUCCGAGUUGUAAUUUAGAGAAGUGUUAUCCGCGCUGGAC